UAGGCCCUUACCGCGAUCCUCACCGCGUGAACUCGCGCUCGGCCCUGUAGUAAAAUGGGGGUGAGAACUAACUUCCUUAGUUCCCAGUGGGUUCGGCCGCCGACUCCGCCGAUCUCCCCACUAGGUCCAAGUGGGCACCAGUAGAUAAUUGAUAGAUAGAUAGAUAAGGAAAGCGGUAAAUGACAGAAGUAAAGGUACUCUACUAUGCCCAAUCAUAAAUAUAUGAAUGCAUGUACAAUGAAAUAGGUAAGCAACUAACCCAUUACCAUGUCCAAAGGUAAAGUCAUUUACUCGUUCAUCAAUCUUAUUUACUUGUUUCUUAAUCUCGUGGCUUCCCUGAAGGAGCCUACAGCUCACUAGCCAUCUCGAAGGUAGGGAGGGUCAACUCGCACUACGAACCGAGACCGUCUGCCGGGGCCUAAAAUAGGCAAUCCCUUGGGACCCAAACUAGGCAAUCCCACGUGACCAACUCCGGAGCGCACUACUUGUGUGGGGCUUCCAUCACAAGAUUUAAAACAGACCGUGAGCAUGAUCCAAUCCUCGUCUCGAGAAUACCCUAUCCUUUAGGGGUACAAUCAUCAUAUAGUCCAUAGGUUUCACAUACACUAUGACUCAUAUGUGUCAUUUGUUCUUUUGCUUACUAGCAACUAAAUGCCACUUGUUCAUUUGUUUGCUAUCGACUAGAUGCCACUCGUUCUUUGUUUAACAUUAGACCAACCGUCGAGCCCAUCUCUUUCUCUGCACUAUAGGAUUCACAAGUCUCGACCCAAUCCUUAUCGAUCCACUACUAUGUCAAGUAUCCAAUACAUGCUACGAUAUCAU
rnacentral:lncRNA from 1 species